rnacentral:rRNA from 1 species
ACAUCCAGAGAAUUUAGCAGAGAUGCUUUAGUGCCUUCGGGAACUCUGAGACAGGUGCUGCAUGGCUGUCGUCAGCUCGUGUUGUGAAAUUGUUGGGUUAAGUCCCGCAACGAGCGCAACCCUUUAUCCUUUGUUGCCAGCACGUAAUGGUGGGAACUCAAAGGAGACUGCCGGUGAUAAACCGGAGGAAGGUGGGGAUGACGUCACGUCAUCAUGGCCCUUACGAGUAGGGCUACACACGUGCUACAAUGGCGCAUACAAAGAGAAGCGACCUCGCGAGAGCAAGCGGACCUCAUAAAGUGCGUCGUAGUCCGGAUUGGAGUCUGCAACUCGACUCCAUGAAGUCGGAAUCGCUAGUAAUCGUAAAUCAGAAUGUUACGGUGAAUACGUUCCCGGGCCUUGUACACACCGCCCGUCACACCAUGGGAGUGGGUUGCAAAAGAAGUAGAUAGCUUAACCUUCGGGAGGGCGUUUACCACUUUGUGAUUCAUGACUGGGGUGAAGUCGUAACAAGGUAGGCGUAGUGCU